rnacentral:rRNA from 1 species
AGAGUUUGAUCCUGGCUCAGGAUGAACGCUAGCGACAGGCUUAACACAUGCAAGUCGAGGGGCAGCAUGAUUUGUAGCAAUACAGAUUGAUGGCGACCGGCGCACGGGUGAGUAACGCGUAUGCAACUUACCUAUCAGAGGGGGAUAACCCGGCGAAAGUCGGACUAAUACCGCAUGAAGCAGGGGCCCCGCAUGGGGAUAUUUGCUAAAGAUUCAUCGCUGAUAGAUAGGCAUGCGUUCCAUUAGGCAGUUGGCGGGGUAACGGCCCACCAAACCGACGAUGGAUAGGGGUUCUGAGAGGAAGGUCCCCCACAUUGGUACUGAGACACGGACCAAACUCCUACGGGAGGCAGCAGUGAGGAAUAUUGGUCAAUGGCCGAGAGGCUGAACCAGCCAAGUCGCGUGAGGGAUGAAGGUUCUAUGGAUCGUAAACCUCUUUUAUAAGGGAAUAAAGUGCGGGACGUGUCCCGUUUUGUAUGUACCUUAUGAAUAAGGAUCGGCUAACUCCGUGCCAGCAGCCGCGGUAAUACGGAGGAUCCGAGCGUUAUCCGGAUUUAUUGGGUUUAAAGGGUGCGUAGGCGGCCUUUUAAGUCAGCGGUGAAAGUCUGUGGCUCAACCAUAGAAUUGCCGUUGAAACUGGGGGGCUUGAGUAUGUUUGAGGCAGGCGGAAUGCGUGGUGUAGCGGUGAAAUGCAUAGAUAUCACGCAGAACCCCGAUUGCGAAGGCAGCCUGCCAAGCCAUGACUGACGCUGAUGCACGAAAGCGUGGGGAUCAAACAGGAUUAGAUACCCUGGUAGUCCACGCAGUAAACGAUGAUUACUAGCUGUUUGCGAUACACAGUAAGCGGCACAGCGAAAGCGUUAAGUAAUCCACCUGGGGAGUACGCCGGCAACGGUGAAACUCAAAGGAAUUGACGGGGGCCCGCACAAGCGGAGGAACAUGUGGUUUAAUUCGAUGAUACGCGAGGAACCUUACCCGGGCUUGAAUUGCAGAGGAAGGAUUUGGAGACAAUGACGCCCUUCGGGGCCUCUGUGAAGGUGCUGCAUGGUUGUCGUCAGCUCGUGCCGUGAGGUGUCGGCUUAAGUGCCAUAACGAGCGCAACCCUUGCCACUAGUUACUAACAGGUAAAGCUGAGGACUCUGGUGGGACUGCCAGCGUAAGCUGCGAGGAAGGCGGGGAUGACGUCAAAUCAGCACGGCCCUUACAUCCGGGGCGACACACGUGUUACAAUGGCGUGGACAAAGGGAAGCCACCUGGCGACAGGGAGCGAAUCCCCAAACCACGUCUCAGUUCGGAUCGGAGUCUGCAACCCGACUCCGUGAAGCUGGAUUCGCUAGUAAUCGCGCAUCAGCCAUGGCGCGGUGAAUACGUUCCCGGGCCUUGUACACACCGCCCGUCAAGCCAUGGGAGCCGGGGGUACCUGAAGUGCGUAACCGCGAGGAGCGCCCUAGGGUAAAACUGGUGACUGGGGCUAAGUCGUAACAAGGUAGCCGUACCGGAAGGUGCGGCUG